AGCUUUGCGCAGUGGCAGUAUCGUAGCCAAUGAAGUUUAUCCGAGGCGCGAUUAUUGCUAAUUGAAAACUUUUCCCAAAAGUCAUUGGUUCACACACAUGAGCACACACUCAUAAACACAAAAUUUUAUACAUGCAUGAAAAUAU